rnacentral:tRNA from 1 species
GCGCCCGUGGCUCAGCUGGAUAGAGCGCUGCCCUCCGGAGGCAGAGGUCUCAGGUUCGAAUCCUGUCGGGCGUACCA